UCUGUAGCCAAGCCCAUAAACUGGAUAUUGAUCACCCUAAAACUAUCCCAUGGUACUGCAACUAUCUUUGGAAGGGCUGUCUCCAUGUCUUGUCUCUGAACACCUUGUGGACAGUGACUUCUCUUUGUAUCCCUGACACACAGCGUUUGAUAUUUAGAGUCCUCAAUCCAGAGUGGGCUGUUGAACAUUAGUUUGAAUUGAUGGAAAACUAAUGUUAAGGAGCAACACACACUGCAGGAAUUAAUCUUGAUUUUUGAAGCUGUACUGUGAAAAAGGAAUGAUUUAUGUACCUUUCUUGGCCAGAGUCCCAGAGUAUCCUUAAGAUAGAACCUGAAGCCCCAGAGACUACCUGACAUUACCAGUGUCUGGUUAAGAUUCAAAAAUAUUUCCAUUUAAAUAAAUAUAUAUCCAGGACUUAGACAAAGGAUCUAAAAAAACUGAAUAAGAAAUCCAGGUUCAGACCUGCAGGAUCCUCUUUCAUCUGCUCCCCUAUGUUCAGUUAAGAACCCUGUCUGUGUUCAGUUGACAUUAUAUGGUGUCAGAAGUGGGAUAAGAAGGUGAUGAAUCUCGAUGAACUAACAACUCCAGGCAUUGUGAAUGGUAGCCACUUCAGCCUCUUGCAUUAUGAUGGGACAUGAUAACCAGGAAAGGUCCUUCCUGGCACCAAGGGACAAAAUCACUAAAUACAGAAAACUGAUUCUUGAUUGGCAGUGCUUUAAAGAAAUGUUUAAAAUAGUACCUCACAACUUCCUCUUUUCCUUCCAGGCUUGCAUAUCUGGAAUUGCAAUUCCCAAAUAAAGUCAUUUGCUACAUGAUAACCUUGGUUUUUUAAUUUAAUUUUUAAGGUUGAC